rnacentral:lncRNA from 1 species
GUUCAAUUUGGAGUGGAAUCUGGUUAAGGUUAAUCUGGUGCAAUUNAAACCACGAAUUUUAUUCCCACUCUUCACGACCGGUGGCUCUCGUCUCUUUGCCUCUCCAUCUCGUCGUGUUACAUUUUAUUGUAUAAGAAAUCUCCAUAAAAGGAGAAGAUGAAUUACUCCAUCAAAGGAGGAAAAUUGCACUCCAAAAUAGGAGGAAAUGCACUCCAUAAUAGGAGGAAAGGAACACUCCAAAGAAGGUGGAAAAUAAACCUCCAUGAAAGGAAGGGAUUAGAAGAAAAAAUUCCAAUGAGCUACAAUGCGUACAAGUCUUGUAUUUAUAGACAAGAAGAGUAGCUAUCUAACUACUAACAUAACUACCAACUAAUUAACAGCUGUAGGAAGAAUCUGUGGAAGCUGGAGACGGCUGGGAGAAUCCGUGUGAGAAAAAUCUGGUCCGUUCAAUUUGGAGUGGAAUCUGGUUAAGGUUAAUCUGGUGCAAUUCUAAUACACCCCCUUCAAGAUGGACUAGGAAGAUCAACUAUAGUCCAUCUUGAAGAUUAAAAUGUGAAAUAUCAACCAUGAAUAUGUAACAACAACAGCAACAGUAACCUUAAGAUUUCCAGCAACGUUGAAGAUCACAAUUGAAUUUCACUGCUGGCGUUGCUGCAUGUAGUGGACUCUGAUGAGAAUGCAGAACUUGAAUUGAAAAAAAAGUGACUCACAACACUCUCAUGGCUCUCAUUUGUAGGACAUUUCUUCAAACACUUUGUGUGCAUAUUCAAACUCGAAAUUUUCUCUGAUAGACUAUAUACGAGUUGAAUGUGUUGGAAAGGAAAACGUAGGAGAUCUGGCAAAUGUACAUGAGAACCUUCUGAAGCAACUUCAAACUUCACAUCAACACCAAUAAUUUCUGCGCCAAUUCUUCCAAACAAAUCAACACCCUGAGUUGCACAAUCUAUAACCAAAUCUGUAAUUACAGCAAGAUUUCGAAAGUAUGCUACACUCUGAUUUAAAUCCCCAGCUUGAUGAUGUUAGAGAUUUAGAAGAAAAUGAACAGAAAUUUUAUUGUUGAGGUUGCAGAACUACCAUUACACAGAUCGUCGAGUAUCGAUUGAGUGAAUUCUUUGAUUUUCUUCAGCAAAUUGAAGCCGUGAGGACUUGAAUGCUUUUUCUCUAUCUAUUAGAAUUUAUCUGAGCAUAUUAGAAUUUAUUAGAAUUGAAGAUGAUGUUGCUGCCGCCAUCAAACACUCUGAAAUUAUUGAUGACUGGAACUGAAAUUACACCUUCCAGAAUUAUGGUAAAAUAGAACAAAUCAUGGAUUUGCUCUCAUUUGAGCAGAAUACAGAAAAUCACAGAUCCGCUUUCUUUGAGCAGAACACGGGAAAAGGAGAUGUUGAAUCUCAUAAAAACACAGCAACAGGAAGCAAUUUUGCUCUGAUACCAUGUUACAUUUUAUUGAAUGAGAAAUCUCCAUAAAAGGAGAAGAUGAAUUACUCCAUUAAAGGAGGAAAAUUACACUCCAAAAUAGGAGGAAAUGCACUCCAUAACAGGAGGAAAGGAACACUCCAAAGAAGGAGGAAAAUAAACCUCCAUGAAAGGGAG